CAGAUGCAGAACUUGGCUUUGCUGGUCAUAGAAACGAGAGAAAAGGGGAAACUAACUUCAUGAACUCCAAUCACGUGAGGACCACAGAUGCAUCAUCUAAUCCCUGAAACACCCCUGUGAGGAUGAAUAUCCCAUGCCAAAGUAAACGCCCAAUGAAGGGAGGAGUUAGCCAAUGGGAGAGGUGCUGAAAGAACAGCUCCCGGGCAUUUCCUAAACUUUGGACAAUGGCUGCAGGUUUUCUUCCUUGGAUUACUGUUUUGGCAUCUGUCUCUUCCACUAGAGGCCAGAGACCUGUCUUGCUCAUGACUGUAGCCUCAAUGCCAAGGAUGUGCCUGACACAGGUAUAGAUGCACAAGAAAUAUUUGUUGGAGACAUUCCUGUUCAGAUGCUGAAAUAGUUAAUGCUAAAGAACCUUCAAUAAAG